rnacentral:lncRNA from 1 species
CCACCUGGCUGUAAAGUUUUAUGUAGUCAAACUGUUUCACAGUGAGAACAAUCAUAGUGUGAUCUUAAAUGGGGCAAGAGAGAUAAGUCUAAUUGCUCAUUUGAGCAGACUCUUAUAGAUUUCUUGAAGAAGAAGAAAUAAAACCUGCAGGUAUGGCAGAGAGAACAAAGCGUAGGAAAAAAAAUAUCAUUUGUUGCAAUAUUUAUUUUGCCAUCCAGCAUAUAAAUACUACAUGAGUUAGGGAGAGCACUACACUUCUCUUAGCCAUGGGAUCUAGCAAGCAGUGCUGUCUGUUGGUUUUGGGGUUUUGCAGUUCCCAGAGCUGUUACAUCAUUUAAUACCAUGUUGUUAGUUGUCACACCUGGUUACCGUGGUUUACAUCAGCUACGUCGUGUGAUGUCUCAUGGAAAUUGGCAGCAGCUGGGGAAAUGUUAAAUAAGUGCAGGCAAACCCUGCACUGGCCAUUUUUUUCAGUCUCUGGGGCUGGAGGUUCCCGAGCAGGGGAGUCUCUGGGGGCUCGCCUGGGGCAGGCACUGCCAGCAUGGGCUGGGCUCUUCCCGUGGUGGCUGGGGACCGGUGCAUGGUGCCUGGUGGCCAGCAGUGUCCAGACCUCGGGCCCGGGGUAGGAAGAGUCCUGCUGUACUGCCAGCAUCAGCAGGAAGCGAGCUGGUUUGUUCCUGUACCGCAGCAGUCUGGUUCGGGCAAUGUGUUUCCCCCCGUGGUGCAGUGGCUGCAGAACCGCGCUGACAUCUCCGUCCUGCUCUCCAUGUCCUCGCGCAGCUCAACAGCUCGUGCUCUCGCCCUCGCUGCAAAAGACUGCUUCGUCUUUUGUCUCCUCCCGAGGAGCAGGCACCGUGUCCAGCUGGCCAGUCCUCUGGAGCAGAGGGGCAAGGAUGGAGUGGCAGUGCUGUUUCCUGUGCUGUACCUGCCACAGCCUGAUGUAGGGUGA